CCUACGGGUGGCAGCAGUGAGGAAUAUUGGUCAAUGGGCGGAAGCCUGAACCAGCCAAGUAGCGUGCAGGAUGACGGCCCUACGGGUUGUAAACUGCUUUUAUACGGGAAUAACGCGCCUUACGUGUAGGGCUUUGCAUGUACCGUAUGAAUAAGGACCGGCUAAUUCCGUGCCAGCAGCCGCGGUAAUACGGAAGGUCCGGGAGUUAUCCGGAUUUAUUGGGUUUAAAGGGAGCGUAGGCCGCAUGUCAAGCGUGCUGUGAAAUGUCCGGGCUCAACCCGGGCCUUGCAGCGCAAACUGGCGUGCGGGAGUGCGCGGAAGGCAGGCGGAAGUCGUGGUGUAGCGGUGAAAUGCUUAGAUAUCACGAAGAACCCCGAUUGCGAAGGCAGCUUGCUGCAGCGGAACUGACGCUGAUGCUCGAAAGCGCGGGUAUCGAACAGGAUUAGAUACCCGAGUAGUC
rnacentral:rRNA from 1 species